rnacentral:misc_RNA from 1 species
CCUGUUCGAGCGUCAUUACAACCCUCAAGCACUGCUUGGUAUUGAAUGUCACCAUUAUGGUGUAUCCUAAAAGUAUUAGCAGUAACAUUCAGCUUCUAGUGUAGUAAAUUUCUCACUUUGGAGCUAAGUGUCUAAUUGUUAGAACCCCUAAUUUAUCAAAGGUUGACCUCGGAUCAGGUAGGGAUACCCGCUGAACUUAA